rnacentral:lncRNA from 1 species
CCGCUGAAAAUGUUUCUUCACUGUCACACUAAAGAAGGGUAAAACCCCCGCAGGCUUCCUCCUAAAAAGCAAAAAGACCCUGUUGGGUAAGGGAGUUCCCUGUUUUACUAAUCACUUUGCCACCAAGCUGCCCCAGCUUGCCCCUGCAGCACCUUCUUUCUCCACCCUCCUACAGCAACCUGCUGGCCAGCAUCAACAGACCAGGUGUUGAAAUCCACAUUGUCACAACCUGGCUCGAGACGAGGUGACAAGGAGGGAGACCACACAAUCAAAUAACUUUGGUCUAUGGUUUAAUUAAGUACAUGAUACACAAAGCACAAGCAAAAUAAGAAUAGCAGGCAGCAGGCCAGAGGGAAGAGACUGAGAAGAUCUUGCAGGUCUGCUUUAUAGCCUGAGCCCAGCCUGCUCAGGUGUACUGCAUCACUGACAAGGUCUCAGCUCCACCAUUCAACCUCCUGAAACGCAUGUUAAGCACACAGCCUGGGAAGGACAGGACAGCCACCUCUGAGGCCGUCAC